rnacentral:lncRNA from 10 species
CAGGGAAAAGGUGGAAACUUGCCCAGGCCCAUAGCAGGAGCCCAACACAGGGAACACUUAAGCUUGUGUAGAGUACUUGUAACCAGAAGCCCGGAGGUGGAGCACAGCAGAGGAUGCAAUGUGCCACUGUCGCGGCCAGAGCCCAUGCAGUGUAAACAUUAACAUUCUUGGAUGCACUAAGCACUGGGCUGCGGUCUACACUUGCAUUCUGAGGUGGUGGAGUCAUGGCCAAAAUUUUGGAGUACUUGGACUUUUCUCAAGAAGCGUUGCACUUCUUGUCCGGACCGGGGAUUACCGCAGAUCGCAGCCCAGAGUCUGCGGAGGCGCACCGUUUCAUCAACAGCAGGGACUGAAACUUCAGCCCAGGAGAAGCCAAGAUGGCACCGUUAUCGCACCCUGGGAAUCGAGGACCGGGAAGAACUUAAUGAUGCGAUUCCUCCCGUGAUCUCAGUGAUUGUAUCAGGCGAAAACGAGGAGGGCAAAAUACCGUCCAGAUGUAAACUAGGAGCAGCCGCACCAGCAGCACCAGCAGAAUGCCGUGGUAGUGCGGCAGGCCCUGGCCCCAUGGACAAAGAGAAACUCGUCAGUGGCAGUGGCCACGAACUCAGAAAGCCUGAGGACAGUCAGCAGCUCCUCUGGCUCUUCACUUUCACACUGGUGCAACUACAGGAGCUGAAGAACAUUUUUCAACUCGUUCCAUACCCGGACGUGUUAGGAUCAGAUUCAUCAUUGGACUCCUGGACCUAUCACUGCGGACCUCAAAUGUGCACCUUUUAAGCCCUUUCCUUCACUCCUGACUGAUUGAUUUGGGAUCCACUGCUAAGUCAGACUUUUGAACCAUUGUUCCAGGCAAACUUCUGUUAAAGCUGUUUCAGAUGAGUUUCCAAUGUUUAUAUUCUAGUUGGACCACAAAUAACGAGUCUCAUCUCAGCACCCGAAGGUUAGUAAUAGAUUUCAAGCAGGCAGAAUAGAAAUUAGAGGAAGAUGGAGAGCUUUAAAACACUCUGCUUAACUUUCUAGUUGCAGGUUACCACUCGAGCUCUGAAUUUUUCUUGCUGUAAUUUUCUCAUCAUUUAAAAAUGUGCACAAAAAUACGUCAUAAUAUGUAACCAGCUGUAAUUCCAAAGAGAAUUAAAAUAUGAAGUUCCUGGCAG